CUGAUCCUGGCAUUCUUUUCUUCUGUUUCUGUCUCUAUUAUCCUGGGUGAGACUGAUUCAAUCAGCUGAAAGACCUCAGGAGCGGAACUGAGGCUUCCCUGAGAAAACAUAAAUUCUGCCUAUGGACAGCAAUUUCAGUUCACCCCUAAAAUCCCACCCUCCUCUUUCUGAUGGCCUGUGCUGUGGACUUCCGAUGUGCCUUGCCAGCGCCCACAAUCAUGUGCAGCAAGUUGCCUUUUUAAAAUGUGCACUUUGGCCGGGUGUGGCAGCUCACUCUUGUAAUCCUAGCACUUCGGGAGGCCGAAGUGGGAGAACUGCUUGAGGCCAGGAGUUCGAGACCAGCCUGGGCAACAUCGUGAGACCACAUCUGUACAACAAAUAAAAUUUAAAAAAAUAUUAGCCAGGCAUGGUGGUGCAUGCCUAUAGUCCCAGCUACUUGGGAGGCUGAGGCGGGAGGAUCACUUGAGUUCAGGAGGUUGAAGCUUCAGUGAGCUGUGAUCAUGCCAAUGCAUUCCAGCCUGGGCAACAUACAAGAUCCUGUCUCAGAAAAACAAAUACAACAUACACCUUCUCCUCUGUUGUCUCUGUCAUAGGAACUAACCGUGCUGUACUCUGUGCUGGUUAUGGGUCUCACUCUUUAUUUCCUUUCCCUCCAGCCAUGCAAAGCCUUUUGUGCUAUUCUGUCCAAGUUGCAGUCAGCAACUUUAGUGCACAGGUGAUAAAAUUACAUCAUAUUUCAGGUA
rnacentral:lncRNA from 1 species